UUGACCAUUUUUUAAGUGAACACUUUUUAACAUGGUCCCAUUUGAAUUCUUUCUUCUACGGAAUAAAGAGCAAGCCUUCUCUUCUAUCAUACUCUCAAUUUUGGUCAACUUGCGCCAAAGGGUCUCGGAGAAGAUAGUAUUA